rnacentral:rRNA from 1 species
GCAGCCGCCGCGGUAAAACGUAUGUCACAAGCGUUAUCCGGAUUUAUUGGGCGUAAAGCGCGUCUAGGUGGUUAUGUAAGUCUGAUGUGAAAAUGCAGGGCUCAACUCUGUAUUGCGUUGGAAACUGUGUAACUAGAGUACUGGAGAGGUAAGCGGAACUACAAGUGUAGAGGUGAAAUUCGUAGAUAUUUGUAGGAAUGCCGAUGGGGAAGCCAGCUUACUGGACAGAUACUGACGCUGAAGCGCGAAAGCGUGGGUAGCAAACAGGAUUAGAUACCCCUGUAGUCCCUGUCUCUUAUACA